AUCUAGAUGUAUUGCCCAUCCCAUGGAUUUGCUGCUCCACCAGAGGCAGAGAUCUUUUUAAGAGCCAUCAGUCAACAGAUCUGGGUCAUCUGCAUUCAUGACUUCCUUGGGAACCAGGUCAGUGUAUUUGUUAUGAAUGACCUUGUCUUUGGACUUCUUCUGAGCCAUUGCAUCAUAGUGAAUUUUUUCUUCAGCAUCCACCUGAACGGCCAGUGCAUCUGACUUUUUUUUUUCCCUUUCAUCCCAUUUCCAGGGGAUACUGGGCCACAUGGAUCUCUGGAAAGCACCUCCAUCUCCAAGAUCCUCUAAUUACCUAGGUAUUUGGCCUUUCAGGUAUCUAUCAGGGAAAUUCUCUUCAGGAGGAGACCAGUGAGGUCUGUCAUGAUCCCUGGGAU
rnacentral:lncRNA from 12 species